UACGUAGGGUGCAAGCGUUGUCCGGAAUUAUUGGGCGUAAAGAGCUCGUAGGCGGUCUGUCGCGUCUGCUGUGAAAACUCAGGGCUUAACCCUGAGCUUGCAGUGGGUACGGGCAGGCUAGAGUGCGGUAGGGGAGACUGGAAUUCCUGGUGUAGCGGUGAAAUGCGCAGAUAUCAGGAGGAACACCGAUGGCGAAGGCAGGUCUCUGGGCAUUAACUGACGCUGAGGAGCGAAAGCAUGGGGAGCGAACAGG
rnacentral:rRNA from 1 species